GCGAUAAACCUGGCUGCCGCCUGAUUGUUAUAAUAAUUUAACAGUUGGGAGGAAAGUCCGGGCUCCGCAGGGUAUGAUGCCGGGUAACUCCCGGGACAUUUUCAAGGAUUUAUUCCUGAAGGUGGACAGACAGCGCAACAGAAAGUAUACCGCCUGACCACCUGACCACUUAAAUGCAUGGGUUAAUUGUUUACAGUGGUAAUUUUUAAUGCGUUUUAGUGGUCAGGUGGUCGGGUAAGGGUGAAAUGGCGGGGUAAGAGCCCACCUCGGCGGCGGUAACGCCGCUGGAAAAUUGCAAGCCUCAUCAGGAGCAAAGUCAAACAGCGUUAUGGCCGGGUUUUACUGGCCUGCCGGCGGCCUGCCGGUUAUGCGCGGGUAGACUGCUAAAAAGAGCCGGUAACGGCUCUUAUAGACAGAUGGCAGCAGAAAUCAAAAGCCUUCGGCUUUUGAUUACAGAACCCGGCUUAUGGUUUAUCGCUUUU
rnacentral:RNase_P_RNA from 1 species